GUCCUUUUGUAGUUCGGGAGCAUGAUGAUUUGGUGUUUAUGCCUAAGUGUGCUAUGUGCCUCCCUCUGAACCUUGUUACAGCAUUGGCACAUUAGCCAUCUAACC
ensembl:snoRNA